GUACAGAAAGUCCAAUUUUUUUCUUAAAACUUUUUUUAAAGGCCGAAGAUUUCACUCGGUUGACUAAACAACGAACGAAAGCCUACGAAAGCGGCGGAAGUUCGUCGUGACAUCUCAAAUGGUAACUGAUAUCGUGUGACGUUUUCCGUUUUGUUUUUUCUUGUCUUUCCUGAUAACAAAAAUACCCCUAUGAGUGGAAGAAGCGUUCUGGCUGUGAUAAGCGGACCUCGACGGUUACGCACACUCAUGGGUGAUCGGGGCAACUGCGGCGCGGGAUGCGUUUUCACCAACGGGCGGCAUGGGUGGCACUCUCCAUCUACCUCUGUGCCGGGUUCUUCUGUGUCCAGCCGCUACUACGCCUGACCGACCGCGGUGCCCUCGUGUCCAUCCGUGCGUCGCACCCAAGCAGCAGCCGCUUCUCAUGGGCUCGGGCGGAGAAUGUUCCGGUCGCUGUUGUCGCGGUGGUCGCCGCUCUGCUCUACAUGCAAGGCUUUGCCCUACUACUCGCUUGCACCAGGACGGACGCCAGGGCACGGAUCGCCAAGACAGUGUUUCCGUUUGUACUCUGCACGUUUUGGAAGUGGCUCCGAAGGAAGGACGAUGUUGUCGCGACGGGGUCGGAAGGAUACGUCGAGCCGCUCGUAUUUCUGUAGCGUUGCACGUAGAGCAGAGAUUACGAGUUCCAUAACUGGAGCGCGACAAGCACACUACUUAGGUGGCCAAGUCUGUGUUUCCAUUUGUGCUUGGUAAAUUCUGGAAGUGGCUCCGAGGUGGCCACAGAAACCACGUUGCCAGGACGUCGGAGAGGAUGCGCCGAGCCACUUGUAUUUCUGUACCGUCGAGCUCCCGCGUCCGAGAUUGCUCAUUUCCUGACUGGAGUAUGAUGGCAACAUUGCUAUACACCCUUCAGCCCUAGGCUGACGGUACGGUAGAAGCUACGCACUCUCCGAACCAAUCGGCCACCUCCCUUUCAUCACCUGACCCCGCAGUCGGUGCGGGUGCGAACACGAUCACAUGCCAGAUUAUGGACAUACGACUGGCCCAACCCCCCAACAUGCAGCUUCCACCGCACAGUCGGGUGAAGGCCGAGCAGUGUAAGCUAUAUGCUGGUUGGACUAGUCUUGCAUCUUUUGCCAUGUGAUUGCACUCCCACUCAUACCCAUGUACAGAGAGUGGGGUCAAGUGAUGUAAAGGAGGCAGCCGAUUAAUCCAGCAAGCGCGUAGCUCCCACCACACCCUUAGCCUAGGGGUGAAGCUCUUCUUUCGUUUUUUAUGAGCGGCAUUUUAUGGUAAAAAACAGCUUUCAUAAUUAAUCAAGUCAUUCAGAGUGUUAUACGUAUGUUCAAGAUAAGUGAACUGAGCUUUAUAUCAUCAUAUUUUUAGAAGUCUUUUUUACAAUUACAGCAGCUACGAGCAAAGCCUAACAUAAUACUCGAAGUCAUAUUGAAGUAUGUGUUACACCAAAGAGCAUGUACCAUUUCGCUGGUUUUGUCGGCUACAAGUGAGCAUGUUUUGUUGGAUUACCAGAGGAGAACGUGUAAUGAAUCGCAAAUGUUAAUUGCCGCCCCCUGUAUAUUCAGUGAAAGAAUUCAGUUGCUGGGGGGGGGGGGGGGGGGGGGGGUUUACAACUACAUCAUAUCGAGAUCUAUUAGAACUCCACACGUCUCCCAAGCGAAGGAAACGGGCUCACAACACUCGUAUGUACAUUCUGGUCACACAGCGCAGCCCAAAUAAAGUUAUUGUGGCAAUAGUCACUUUCUCCAUUGAAA